rnacentral:rRNA from 1 species
GACGAACCGUGCGAACGUUGUUCGGAAUCACUGGGCUUAAAGGGCGCGUAGGCGGGCUGCCAAAGUCUGGGGUGAAAUCCUCCGGCUCAACCGGAGAACGGCCUCGGAUACUGGCGGUCUCGAGGGAGGUAGGGGCGUGCGGAACUAAGGGGUGGAGCGGUGAAAAUGCGUUGAUAUCCUUAGGAACUCCGGUGGCGAAGGCGGCACGCUGGACCUCUUCUGACGCUGAGGCGCGAAAGCCAGGGGGAGCAAACGG